UACAGAGGUCCCGAGCGUUGUUCGGAUUCACUGGGCGUAAAGAGCGCGUAGGCGGUCCGAUAAGUCGGCUGUGAAAGUCAAGGGCUCAACCCUUGAAAGCCGGCCGAUACUGUCGGGCUAGAGUCCGGAAGAGGCGAGUGGAAUUCCCGGUGUAGCGGUGAAAUGCGCAGAUAUCAGGAGGAACACCGGUGGCGAAGGCGGGUCUCUGGGCCGAUACUGACGCUGAGGAGCGAAAGCGUGGGGAGCGAACAGG
rnacentral:rRNA from 1 species